UACGUAGGCAGCGAGCGUUGUUCGGAGUUACUGGGCGUAAAGGGUGUGUAGGCGGUUGUUUAAGUUUGGUGUGAAAUCUCCCGGCUCAACUGGGAGGGUGCGCCGAAUACUGAAUGACUUCGAGUGCGGAGAGGAGAGUGGAAUUCCUGGUGUAGCGGUGAAAUGCGUAGAUAUCAGGAGGAAUACCGGUGGUGUAGACGGCUCUCCUGGACCGCCACUGACGCUGAGACACGAAGCGUGGUAGCAACAGG
rnacentral:rRNA from 1 species